ACAACAUUUGGACCGUCAAUCUACCGAGCAAUAUCACCAGCUAGGCGGAAGAUCUUCCCUUUGUCAU
rnacentral:pre_miRNA from 1 species